UUCUGGCUUGUCUCUGGCCAUCGUCACUGCAGAGGACCAGUCCCCACCUUCUGCAUUUUCUACCAACACCAAACGAACCCCCUACUGGGCACAAUCUUGACAGAGAAGCAUGGAUAAGCUGAACAAACUGAGAUCUGGAUAUGAAUGCUUCAAAACACUACUAUACAAGAAGAACAUCAGCUCCUGUGUGAAUGUAGUGUCCAGCAAUCAGCACAGCAUUUUAAUCAAAAGCUGCCAGAUGGUAAACAUCUUGGUGUCUUAUAUGCACUGCUGUGUCCCUUUAAUUUUUCAAAGGAUUGGAAAUUCUGGAUGGAGCUUAAAAGAUGAAAUUCAGUGCUGACAGAUGCAGAAAUACAAAUACAAAAUGGGUAACAACUGGCUGAACAGAAAGAUGUAGGAGUCUUGGUGGAUCAGAGACUCAAUGUGCAACUACAGUGUGGCACAGACACACCAAAACUGAAUGCAAUUUUGGGAUGCACCAAUAGGAGCAUUAUUGCAAGACACAGGAGGUAUCUGCUGGAAGAAUAAUACAGGAAAAUGUAAAAUGUCAACUAAGACCCUAGCCUGUGUGGAAAACACCUGGAAAUCACAAGCACAGAAUGGGAGGUAACUGGCUGGGUGACAGCACUUCUGAAAAUAAUCUUCAGGUUUUCAUGGAUCACCCACUCAACUUGAGUCAGCCGUAAAAAAAAAGCAUGUUUUCUUGGGCUGCAUCAACAGGAGUAUUGGGUGUAAGACACAUUUCUGCCCAGCAGAGCUGGGAUUGGGACUAGGAAUUCAGGGGUGCAGUGUGCUGCCUGGAGUCACAGUUAACCCCUCAAGGCCAGCACCUGGAAGUGGGGAUUGCCCUACAGCAUUGUAGGGAGCAACAAGGGGGCUCUUUGCAACAUAGAAGGAUCUGUGCUAUCUAGCAACUCCCUGCAACGCAGCAAAGACAAGAAGCUCAAAGGACUCUCCAGUGAAGCCUCCUUCUCCAGCUCAUUGCUGAAGAGCAGGUAUAAGGGUACAAGCUCCAGACACUGCCUUUUGGGUGAGUCCCAAGUUCCAGACUGCCUGGCAUGGGUGAAGGCUCUCCAAGAGGGUGCAAUUUAUGAACAAUGCCUUGUAGUUGCUAACGUUUUAAAUUGUAUUUAGUGUUUUCUUUGCCUUUGGUUUCUGUAAUAAAUUUAUUCUUUGUGUUUA